CCUGCUCUAUGAUAAGUAUUAAAUGGCUGCAGUAUUUUAACUGUACAAAGGUAGCAUAAUAAAUAGUUUCUUAAUUGGGGGCUUGUAUGAAAGGGUUUAUGAGUUAUAAUUUUUAUUUUAUUUAUUUUUAGAAUUUUAUUUCUAGGUAAAAAAGCUUAGUUUCUUUUUUGGGACGAAAAGACCCUAUAGAACUUAAUUAAUUUAAUUAUUAUUUAUUUUUUGUUUUUUCAUUAAAUUAAUAUUUAUGUUUAUUUGGUUGGGGCGAUUAUUAAGAAUAACAAAACUUUAUUUUUUUAUUUCAUUUAUUUAUGUUUUAUUGAUCCAAUAUUUUUGAUUAAAAGAUUUAGUUACCUUAGGGAUAACAGCGUAAUUUUAAUGGGGAGUUCUUAUUUAUAUUAAAGUUUGCGACCUCGAUGUUGAAUUAAGAUUAGGAUAUGGGGUAGUUUUUAUAAUUUCUAGGUCUGUUCGACCUUUAAUUUCUUAC
rnacentral:rRNA from 1 species